GUUAUUAUUUUGUGUUCAUUAUACUUACAUUGUACAUUAUGUAUAGACAUUUAUUCAUUGUUAAAUAUGUUGAACUCCUGAUACAGUUGCUGUCUCAUUGACAUGCUUCAUGCCUCAUUUUAUGCAUGCAUUUAAGUCACAAGGAGCUUGUCUCUUGAGUUUUUUUUCAGAAGCAAGUCCCUUCGGUACAAUGUUUUGUUUCCAGGAC
rnacentral:lncRNA from 1 species